rnacentral:rRNA from 1 species
GUGUCAGCAGCCGCGGUAAUACGAGGGGUGCAAGCGUUAUUCGGAAUUAUUGGGCGUAAAGGGUGUGUAGACGGCAUGUUAAGUCAACUGUUAAAAUUCUCGGCCUAACCGGGAGCCAGCAGUAGAAACUGGCGUGCUAGAGGGUGGAAGAGAGAAGUGGAAUUCUCGGAGUAGCGGUAAAAUGCGUAGAUCUCGAGAGGAACACCGAUGGCGAAGGCAGCUUCUUGGUCCAUACCUGACGUUGAGACACGAAAGCGUGGGGAGCAAACAGGAUUAGAUACCCCGGUAGUCC